UGGGGGAUAUUGCACAAUGGGCGAAAGCCUGAUGCAGCGACGCCGCGUGGGGGAUGAAGGCCUUCGGGUUGUAAACUUCUUUUGCUCUGAACAAGGCGCACCAUGGGGUGUGUUGAGUGUAGGGGUUGAUUAGCGCCGGUUAACUACGUGCCAGCAGCCGCGGUAAUACGUAGGGCGCGAGCGUUGUCCGGAAUCAUUGGGCGUAAAGGGUUUGUAGGUGGCUGGUUGCGUCUGUCGUGAAAGCUCAUGGCUUAACUGUGGGUUUGGGGUGGGUGUGGACUGGCGUGAGUGCAGGAGGAGAGGCUGGGAUUCCUGGUGUAGCGGUGGAAUGCGCAGAUAUCAGGAUGAAUACCGGUGGCGAAGGCGGGUCUCUGGGCUGUUACUGACACUGAGGAGCGAAAGCAUGGGGAUCGAACAGG
rnacentral:rRNA from 1 species